rnacentral:rRNA from 1 species
AGUGAACGCUGGCGGUAGGCCUAACACAUGCAAGUCGAACGGCAGCACAGUAAGAGCUUGCUCUUACGGGUGGCGAGUGGCGGACGGGUGAGGAAUACAUCGGAAUCUACUUUUUCGUGGGGGAUAACGUAGGGAAACUUACGCUAAUACCGCAUACGACCUACGGGUGAAAGCAGGGGAUCUUCGGACCUUGCGCGAUUGAAUGAGCCGAUGUCGGAUUAGCUAGUUGGCGGGGUAAAGGCCCACCAAGGCGACGAUCCGUAGCUGGUCUGAGAGGAUGAUCAGCCACACUGGAACUGAGACACGGUCCAGACUCCGACGGGAGGCAGCAGUGGGGAAUAUUGGACAAUGGGCGCAAGCCUGAUCCAGCCAUACCGAGUGGGUGAAGAAGGCCUUCGGGUUGUAAAGCCCUUUUGUUGGGAAAGAAAAGCAGCAGGUUAAUACCCCGCUGUUCUGACGGUACCCAAAGAAUAAACACCGGCUAACUGCGU